rnacentral:rRNA from 1 species
UCCUACGGGAGGCAGCAGUGGGGAAUUUUGGACAAUGGGCGCAAGCCUGAUCCAGCUAUUCCGCGUGUGGGAUGAAGGCCCUCGGGUUGUAAACCACUUUUGUAGAGAACGAAAAGACACCUUCGAAUAAAGGGUGUUGCUGACGGUACUCUAAGAAUAAGCACCGGCUAACUACGUGCCAGCAGCCGCGGUAAUACGUAGGGUGCGAGCGUUAAUCGGAAUUACUGGGCGUAAAGGGUGCGCAGGCGGUUGAGUAAGACAGAUGUGAAAUCCCCGAGCUUAACUCGGGAAUGGCAUAUGUGACUGCUCGACUAGAGUGUGUCAGAGGGAGGUGGAAUUCCACGUGUAGCAGUGAAAUGCGUAGAUAUGUGGAAGAACACCGAUGGCGAAGGCAGCCUCCUGGGACAUAACUGACGCUCAGGCACGAAAGCGUGGGGAGCAAACAGGAUUAGAUACCCUGGUAGUCC